UACGGAGGGUGCUAGCGUUGUUCGGAAUCACUGGGCGUAAAGGGCGUGUAGGCGGUCUGUUAAGUCUGAUGUGAAAUCCCCUCGCUCAACGAGGGAACUGCGUCGGAUACUGGCAGACUCGAGUACCGGAGAGGAAGGUGGAAUUCCCGGUGUAGCGGUGAAAUGCGUUGAUAUCGGAAGGAACGCCGGUGGCGAAAGCGGUCCGCUGGGUCCCUACUGACGCUGAGGCGCGAAAGCCGGGGAGCGAACGGG
rnacentral:rRNA from 1 species